rnacentral:rRNA from 1 species
UAGCAUAAUAAUUUGUUUUUUAAAUGAAAACUAGUAUGAAUGGCCAUCCAUUUUCUAACUGUCUCUCUAUAUUCUCUUUUAAAUUUCUACCCCCGUGAAGAAGCGGGGAUUUCAAAGUAAGACGAAAAGACCCUGUCGAGCUUAAGCUAAUAAAAGAAAUUUUAUUAUAUUAAUUUAUAUUUAUCUUUUUUAAGCUUUGGUUGGGGCAACCAUGGAGUAAAAUUAUCCUCCAGUUAUAAUAAGAUGAAUUUUAUUCUCUUUAUUAAUUUAAUGAACCAAACUAUUUUGGUAAACAGAAAAAGUUACCGCAGGGAUAACAGCGUAAUCUUCUUUGAGAGCCCAUAUUGACAAGAAGGUUUGCGACCUCGAUGUUGGAUUGGGGCAACCAAAAAGCGCAGCCUCUUUUAAAGGUUG